UCCGCUGGACUCGGCUGAGCUCGCGCCGCUCACCCGGGCGCCUGGAGCCCGAGCAGCGAGGCAGUGCCAAUCGAUGUGCGAGCGCCGCGAACUCCGGUCGCUCGAGUCCCGGGCUCCCGAGUCGCGGUGCGGGGGUGGAGGAUUUGUGCGAUCUCCUUUGUGUCUGGCUGGAAACAUCUGGAUUCUCAUAUCUGCUUCUGCGGCCAAUCUGUGGCAAUCUGUUGUUUUGGUUGAAGUAUUCUGAGAAACCCAGACGGAGAUCUGUGAGUUGACAAAGAAAGGAUCUCAUAUACUUCCUUGAAAUAGUCUCAAGGACAUCACCCACCAAAUCCAGGCUGUGCACCUCCAGUCUGAAACCCUGGAGUGAUCCGAAGCACUGAACAAUGAAACUCAAAAACAAAAGAGCAAACCCAUAACAGCAAAAUUCCCAAGAAUUUGAGCUCCCAUGCAUAUCCGAUGAAAGAACAUGCAGUUUGUGAAAGUUUAAAGGCUAUCACUCCAGCGGUCUGUCUUAGAGGAUUCAAAGAAAAAGAUCCAUAAGGAUGUGUACAAGGGAACGUUCUUCCUUAUGCAAAAUAAUUCUAGUAGAAUCUUGGGUGUUGUUAAACAACAUCUCAUAGUCUCCCUGUUAAAAUGGAAGUGAAAUGUGACUUCUUUCAUUACAUACCCCCAGUGAAAUACUAUUUCUAGUGUGUGUGCAUGCAUGCUCGCACAUGCGCAUGCACACCUAAUGGCGUGGUUUUCAUUUAAUCUUCAAACAAUUAUGUGAUGUCAAUAUCAUCAUUAUUCUCAGUGUUCAAAUGAGCGAACAGGCGGAAAGGUUCCAUAGUUUGUUGAGGUCACACAGAUGGUAAGUGGUGGGCAUUUAAACUCAGAUGCCGGAGCCCACACAUUCCAUGAGUCUACAUCAGUCCAAGCAACAUGCCUUAGAGUGGGCACCUUAUUAGGCACAGGCAGGAUAAGCACCCUUUAAGUUUCCCAGCCUGCCUUCCUAGCUCUCUAGAUUAUCUUGGUCGUAUGAAGAAACACUUUGAAAUCCAUUAGAACUCUAGCUAUGAAGAGGUUUGUUUUGGUAACCGUCCCAUUGAGUGGAGUACGUAUUACGCUUGGCCAGUUCAGAUUUGCAUCCAAUAAAGCACAAAUCGUGUCCUUAUAUCCAUAAACAGGCUUCAAGUGACCUGCUGUGCCUUCCGAGAUUGCUUGAAGUUUUUGUGUUCGUGUACUUUUCAUAGGGAGGUUAUUUCCACGGAGUCUUAAAGAACUCUGCCAACCAUUAAAGUUUAAGAAAGUGUUAUUAAAACAAUUCUGGGUUGCUUCUUAAUGCGCUUCCAAGUGAGUCUCAUACUUCUCAAGAACAGAUAAUGAGUGGAGACGUGUGCGGGCUUCUUUUUCCCUUAGUGCGGUUUGGAAAGGGCUGUAAUCUUCCACUUUAUGGUGAUGUGCUCUUAAAUAAUCAAAAUCCCCCCCUUUUAAAAAUAAUUUUAAAGAUCUUUUUCCUUUAUCAUCACAUGGUUUAAUUUUUACUCUUGUCAUGAAUAAGCACUCAUGGUAAACUGUGCUCUAUUUGGUGGCCCUUGGUGAUCUCUUCAGGAGUGAGAUUCCUCUGGGAUUUAAAUCUAGAACUCCGAGCGUCAUCCUUUCCUACAAAGAAAAUCGAGGACAGUGGGUUUUCCUCUUGGUGUGCUUCCAAACAAAGACAAAUUAUCUCCCCUUCACUGGGUUAUUAGUUUUCAAAAGAAAAACAAACUUAGAUAAUACAUACAAACACAAGGAAAAAUAUUAAAGGUGGUAAUUAAAUAAGUGAGAACUCUUCCUAAGAAAAUGGUUUUCACUGGAGUUGAAUAAUACAGGGUUGCAAAUGAGAGCUAGAAAUCUAGGCAAUCUGAAUACUAGUUCCCCGGCCCCUUUAUCGAGGUCAUUUACCAUUUUCUGAGCGCUAACAGCCUACAAUUGUACCUACCGGUAAAAGCAUAAUCGUGGUUCUACAUGACAUAGUUGUCCAAAUCCUUGCACAUUUAGUUUUGCCCUCAUAACUCCAACUUCUUGAUUGUCAAGCCAGACCGUUGCACCUGCAUGAACGUGUAAGAACCAUAACCUGUUUUCUUCUGCAGACAUUUUAAAGCCAUUGCCUCCAUCAAGGAGAGCAACAAGCGAUGCAUACUCUUAGAAAUCCUCUCGGGCUUUUGUUGUUGAACUGCAAGCUUCUAAACAUGUCUUUGUCUUCACAUUUAAAUUCUUCUCAUGACUGAUUGGGGAUACGAACUGGUAAUUCUUGUUGGAUAGGAGCUCAUCCCAAGUCCCCACGAGCCCAUUAGCAGUGAACCUGGAAACGAUGAUGUCAAACGAGUGGUUCUUUAUGGAGACAUAUCGCUAAUUCCAAGCACAUAGAACUUAUUUGUAUUCUGCCCAAAUCAAAUGGAGUUUGAGGUUACCAGUGCAUUUAACAAAUGCAGCAUGCUGUAGCAGAUAAAAGCAGAGAUCUAAAGAGUUUUACAAGGCUGAUUUGAUCUGGGUGGUUAGCCUUGAUAAAACCCUAAAUUCUUGUAUCUUAUAUUCUCCAUGUUAAAAUGGAAGUGGAAUGGGGCCUCUUUGAUUACAUACCACCAGUGAAAUCAUA